GUGGAUGUAGCUCAGUAGUUAGAGCGCUAAUCUGUGGAAUUAGAGGCCGGGGGUGCGAUUCCCCUCAUCCACCCA
rnacentral:tRNA from 1 species